AUCGUCGGACAACGAUCACGUGACAUCAGCCGCCAUUUUAAAAUUUGCAGGUUGUGUGCAGUGCUCAAAUCUGAGAUACAACGAUUUAUUGUCGCUAUACGAAUGACACGUUGACAGUUGUGCUUUGCUGUUAUGAACAUCUGUUCGUAGGGUCUUUGAUCGACCUGAAUUGUCUCGAUUGCAAAGAUUCCUAGAAGGACUAGGAGUGAAACAGCCCUACAACCACAGUGCGACAAGAAGCAGGAUGGCGGGAUCAGUUAGCCCCGUUUUGUCGCUUCAACGAUGUGACGAAGAUAUUGACUUGUUGUCGGAGUUGCUGGGUUCAAAUUCAAAUGGAUCAAGCAGUAACAGUAUAGAUAUUGCAGAAAGUCUGCUUAGCGAUGAUAUGGAUGAUCUUACCGGCUAUCUUUGCAGGAACUCGAAACGUCUCAAUCGGGGUGGGGAGGGUUCGUUCUCAGGUCAAGAGUGCCUGGAUGAUCUAAAUUUAGGUUGUCAUGAUAGUGAUAUUUCAAUGAACCCUGUCCGCGACAGUCCAAUGCACACGACAGUAAAGGGUGAAACCAGAGUAGAUAAACCUAUUACGACCAAGGCUACCAAAAGCCGAGAACUUAUGUAUACUGUCAUCGCUCAAAAGGAACCCAAAUCUAUGAAUAAGAACGCUGUCGCCGCAAGGGAAAAUAGACAAAAAAGAAAGAAGUACAUUGAAAACAUCGAGAGAGAAGUAGCACAACUUAAAGAGGAGAAUGCAGCACUUAAGAUGAAGGUGUCUUGCCAAGGUGACAGUGUAGAGAAACUGAAUGAGCAAGUAAAGUAUCUGCAAAGUGUUAUUUCUAAUCAGUCCACCAUAUCAGCCUUAUUGCAGAACAUUCAAAAUACAGCUGGUGUCACACUGAAAUCAUCUUGGGUUGAUUUGGGGAAACAGUCUGAUGCAUGUUCAACCUUUACACAGAGUGGGAAGAAAAAUGUUGAAAACUGCAAGUCCCGACUUCGUAAAUCAAAGCGUAAGUGUGUGUUUGAGUCAGAAAGUGUGUUGAGCCGAGAUAAGAAGUUGUGUUUUGAGAAGGAAAACACAAAUGGUAAUGUCCAGCUUACAAGUGGUUCAGAGUCCAGUCCAAGUGUAAAGAGUGAGGUAAAAAGUAACAGCACCGCAGAGACUGAUCAAGAUGUGUUCAACUUAAACCAGCAGACUAGUGCUGGUGUGUGCCUUCAUGUGUCUGGGAAGCAAGUUUCGCUUGAGUUCUGUUCAGCCUGCAGCAAAAUGGCAUCCACAACAAGAGUCUUGGAUGAUCACAGUUACGUCAGACCAUCAACAGAAUUGGAAUGAAUAUCAUUCUCUUUGUUAUACCAUUUUGUAUGUACAGUGUAGAUUUAUAUUUAGGGCUGAAGCAAUACACUAUGGAACCAUUAUUCUUAUGUCAUUCUUCUGAAAUUAUUAAUAAUUUUAGUAUUAGUGAAUUGUUUCAGUCUCAUUUUGGUUUGAAUAUUUCAAAUCUGAUCAUGUAAAUAUUACUUAUGCCUUGUGAAUAAGUGGUUUGUUAUGCAGUAUUGUCAUUUGUGUAAUCCUGGUUGAAUGGGUGUGUAAAAUGUUACAGAUGACAAUGCUUGUGACAAGUCACUUAAUGUGUCAGAUGUUUAUGUCAAGAUGUUUUGGUCAUAAACUAAACAAUAUUGUUUACCUUUCCAGCCUUCAAAGCUAGACCAAUCUCUAGACAUGAAGUUGCAAUACUUCUGGAUUGACGGUGUAGUAUAAGACAUGAAUGGUCGGUUUCUGUAACAUUUGAUUUUACUACUAGUCAGAAGGGAACAGCCAAUUUCAAACUAGAAAAAGAAUGCCACGUGGCCAUGGUAUAUAUUUUUUAAUGAAUUCCUUUUGAAAAAGAACAGUAAUUCUGUUUUAAAUUUGAUUAAGUUGUGUUAAACACAUGGGUUGUGUUAACAUGCUUUGACAUUAGAUGACAUGCCGUUUCAGGAAAUGUUUGUAAUUUACCAUGUAUUCAGGUAAUUAGUACAUGAUGUGAACCUUAUGUUGGAAGUGGGCUGUUUUCUUUGAAGCAAAUAUAUAAUUUGUUUGUUGUAUGUUCUCAUUCCUCCUUGCCCCUGCCCAUACUGCUAUAGUGCCAGAAAAAGUACAAAUAAGUUUUCAAGUGUUUAUAUUUCCAAGUUAACAUUAAGUACAAACGACAGACCCCUUCUGUAUGAUCUACAUGUAAUUUUCUGUGAAAUACUAUUUGAGUCAAUAUUCAUAAGGGAUCAUGAUUUUAAUAUCACAGUCAUAAUGCUGUUAUGAUCAUGGGAGUGAAUUAUCUACAGUUUAAGACAAUGUGAGACGAAACAUCAUUGGGUUUUAACCAUUUGGUAAAUAGGCUAUAUGACAUAAUAGAACAUUGCAUCUUAGAGAUAUUUGCCCCCUCUCCAAGCCCUCACUUGUUUCGAUUGAUGAGAUGUUAACCAUGUUCUCUGUUUUCUAUUUCAGGGAGGUCAGUAAUGAAUGACCUUUGGUUGAGAAGCGAUGAUCCCAAUCUCUUUAUUUUCACAGUUACCAAUGUGUUGAUGCUGGAUCUCUUAGAGUGGCAUGACCUUCAUAUCACCCGCCUGAAGGUCACGUAAGUAUGGGGACAGUAAGUUACCCAGGUCAGGUUUCUUAAUAUUUAUUACUCGUUGACAUUUAUUAGUACUGAGUCUCUUCUGACUGCUGUGAAAUGGGUCCAUGUAAAUGCUGCAAAGUUUCACAAUGUUAAGGUUUCACUGAAGUUGGUUGAAUUUCAUUGUCUGUAAUUUGAUCCUGAUAUAUCAAUUAACUCGAUAUACUAUUCUGUUUGGUGAUUAUUGUGGCAGAACUUAUCUGUACAAAUUCUUUACCAUGUCAUCCUCACCAUGUGUAAGUUCAUCUGAAAAUCUUGUAAUGGGUUUGGAGUUGUCUAGUCGUCUAAUUCUUUGACAUUUUAAGCCAAAUGGAGGUGUUGCUUACAAGUGUGUAUGGUGCCUCUUAAAAACAAUUUUUUCAAAUAGUGGUGUGAUAAUGUCAUAUCUGAAAGAUUGUGGACAAACAUGAGGUGAGGAGACCUGCAGACAAUGUUAUUCCCUGACUUGGUGAAUAUCACAUUCUGUAUGCCAUUGAUAUGAUUGUCCUGUUUGUUGUAAAAUGAAAAACAAUAAAUGAUCAAAUUGAAA